GACGAACGCUGGCGGCGUGCUUAACACAUGCAAGUCGAACGGAGUGGCGAACGGGUGAGUAACACGUGGGUGAUCUGCCUUGCACUUCGGGAUAAGCUUGGGAAACUGGGUCUAAUACCGGAUAGUGCAAGAUGAGCUCGCGGCCUAUCAGCUUGUUGGUGGGGUAAUGGCCUACCAAGGCGUCGACGGGUAGCCGGCCUGGGAGGGUGUACGGCCACAUGGGGCUUGUGUUCCGGCCCAGACUCUAAGGGGGGCAGGCGGGGGGAAUAUUGGACCAUGGGCGGAAGGCUGGUUGCGGCGCGGCGGGGGGGGGAUGAAGGCCUUCGGGUUGUAAACUCCUUUCGACAGGGACGCGGUACCUGUAUAAGAAGCACCGGCUAACUACGUGCCAGCAGCCGCGGUAAUUC
rnacentral:rRNA from 1 species